GCGUUAAGGAUUCUUAACCAAGAAGUUUGUGAUCAAGUCAGGCGUUGGGGGUAUGAUGAACUACGUUUGUAUCACACAUUAAAAUUGUAAAAUGAUAAACAUUUUUGAGAUGGGAUUCCUUGAAGAGUGCAAGAUUUUUGCCUGGCAAUUCUAACUUGAGCAAUUCACCAAACGUUUCUUAUUGUUUCUUCUCAUAUGAAACUUCACAUUUCUUCCUGGAACCAUUCAGAUACCAGGAAAGGGGAGGGGUAGAGGCUGUUACUCAUGCAACCUUUAUCUAGAAAGCAUGCGCACAGUUAUUUAUCAAAUGAUUCUGCCUGUUUUAGGAACAAAUGAUCUUUAACUUGUCCUUUCAACUAAUAACUAAUUUUGCCAUUACGUAUUAUUUGUUCAACACCGUGUGGCUUGGCAUUGUACUGAUAAACUCAAAAUGAAAAAAAAAUAAAUAAAUGCUAUAGUCUCAACCAGGAAAUAGUGUUCCACUAACAUUGUCAUUAAUCUAUUGCCAAGAGCUCAUUCAUAGGUCAGGUAAGUAUGAAGUAAAGGAAAUCAAGAGAAAGGUCAUAUGAGUGAAAAAAAAAUACAACUCUACAUGCAGUAAUUAGUAAUGAGAGAAAAAGUGAAGUUUAGAAUAUUCAGUCAUUGUAAACAAUGUUUCUACUGUUUUGCAAAUAAAUCUGGAGUCAAGCAAAUCAAAGAGAACAGCUAUAAAGAGCUUUAAAAAGUAGGUGACUGUUUAUAAUGAUCAAACCUAAAUGAAAUUUCUUUUAUUGUUUCUAAGAAACAUGUAAUUAUUAGUGGGCUGCCUAGUAAAAUAUAGAGGAUUAUUUGCAACCUCAAAUUUAAAUUCACCUAUCCUAUACAAGUGUGAAUUUAUGACAUCACUCAGUUUUCAAACAAAGAAGUAUUAUGAGGUAGUGGAAAUUUUCCCCAGGAAAUUUUAAUUCUGUUUUGCUUUCUAUUUUGGUAUAGAAGUACGAGGUUCAUGAAAGACAAAAGCAUAUUCUCUUUAAGCUUAUUAGUCUUUUUAGAGGUAGUCCUUAGGGAAAUAACUGUGAUGCUCAUACCAGGAAUGAUCAUACAAAAGGGCUAUUAACUCAUCAUACCUUCAUCUGAAGGGCAUCUUUACAGCUGAAGAGAGAGAAGAUGAUACUACUCUCUCAAUGUACAGAAUCCCAAGGAAAAUGCAAAGACACCAUUAGGCAUUAGAUAUCAUUGCUCUAUGCAGAAACUAUAAAUUUGCUUAUACAUUCAUGGGAAGUGAGUAGGAGGUUCAUUCUGAACUUAAUAUUUUGCAUAAAAAGUCCAAAUAAAUUUUGGUUUGGUUGUCAGAGUUUUAUCUUACUUAACAGAAUUUUCUUCUAGGCAACUUCACAAGGAUGAUUUUUUGCUUACAUUUAACAAACUUAAUCCCAUAUUCAUCUUUCUCUUUUUCUUUACCUAAGUACAGACUCUUAAUUCAUUCUCUCUCACUCCCUCCCCCCACUACCACUCAGUAUCAUGUACUUCCUCAUUUAUGUUCACAUUAACAUUUUCAAGUCACUGAGUCCAGAACUCUGGAGUCUGUUUUACCUGAUCAUGUCUCAUAGCCCAUUCAAAACUUUUAUCUUCAAAAGGAGAUGGAGAAAAGAAAUAAAGGAAAAUGGAAGAUAAUAUAUAGGAAUAUGCCUCAUCCUCACAAAUUAACUGUUAGAAUCCUUACUAGGAGAAAUAAAAGUUGUUCAUAAAGCCUA